GCUGGGUGCGGUGGCGCAUACCUGUAAUCCAGUGUCUGGGGAGGCUGAGGCAGGAGGAUCACGAGUUCAAAGCCAGCUUCAGCAACUUAGCAAGGCCCUAAGCAACUCAGAGACACCCUGUCUCUA
rnacentral:sRNA from 1 species